GCUGGGGGUGAAAGGCCAAUCAAACCGGGAGAUAGCUGGUUCUCCCCGAAAGCUAUUUAGGUAGCGCCUCGUGAACUCAUCUUCGGGGGUAGAGCACUGUUUCGGCUAGGGGGUCAUCCCGACUUACCAACCCGAUGCAAACUGCGAAUACCGAAGAAUGUUAUCACGGGAGACACACGGCGGGUGCUAACGUCCGUCGUGAAGAGGGAAACAACCCAGACCGCCAGCUAAGGUCCCAAAGUCACAGUUAAGUGGGAAACGAUGUGGGAAGGCUCAGACAGCCAGGAUGUUGGCUUAGAAGCAGCCAUCAUUUAAAGAAAGCGUAAUAGCUCACUGGUCGAGUCGGCCUGCGCGGAAGAUGUAACGGGGCUAAACUGUGCACCGAAGCUGCGGCAGCGACGCUUAUGCGUUGUUGGGUAGGGGAGCGUUCUGUAAGCCUGCGAAGGUGUCCUGUGAGGGAUGCUGGAGGUAUCAGAAGUGCGAAUGCUGACAUAAGUAACGAUAAUGCGGGUGAAAAGCCCGCUCGCCGGAAGACCAAGGGUUCCUGUCCAACGUUAAUCGGGGCAGGGUGAGUCGACCCCUAAGGCGAGGCCGAAAGGCGUAGUCGAUGGGAAACGGGUUAAUAUUCCCGUACUUGGUGUUACUGCGAAGGGGGGACGGAGAAGGCUAUGUUGGCCGGGCGACGGUUGUCCCGGUUUAAGCGUGUAGGCUGGUUUUCCAGGCAAAUCCGGAAAAUCAAG
rnacentral:rRNA from 1 species